rnacentral:lncRNA from 14 species
UCUUAACUUUCAAGGAUGUGGUUCCAGAGUUCACACUAGAGGAAUGGGAAAGUCUCAAUUAUGCUCAACGGGCACUGUACAUGGAUGUGGUUUUGGAGACGUACAACAAUCUAUUGUCUGUGGAAAAUCAUCUGAUAGGUGGAAAACAUGGGAAGGUCUUGGAACAAGACACAGAGUGCAUUGUCCAUGAGCAUGUGAAUAUCCAAGAGAAGUUUUGUAAAUGGGAAGAAAUUAGCAUAGUGACUCUUGAAUCCACCCAAAGUACACCUUAUAAAACUCAUCUCCGAGAUCUCUCUGUUCAGUCCUCAAACCUAAAAAGACAUAAAGCUGGGAAAAUGAGAGAAGUUUACAAAUAUAAAGACUGUGUACAGUUUUCAAAAGAAUAUGCUAUCAUUGGUGUAAAUUCUGGAAUCCACAUAGAGAACAAAGAACACAAAAAUACAGAAUUUGAUAAGGAUUUUGUCUAUAAAUGUAAACUGAUGCCGAAACAAAGCAAUAAUGGUAAGAACCUUCACCAGUGUAGUGAGUGCAAGAAAUGUUUCACCACAAAAGGGAAUCUUCAUUUGCAUCAGAGAAUUCAUACAGGAGAGAAACCUUACAAAUGCAGUGAAUGUGACAAAUGCUUUACUGAAAAAGGCACUCUGAAAACCCAUAUGAGAAUUCAUUCAGGAGAGAAACCUUACAAAUGCGGUGAAUGUGACAAAUGCUUUACUGAAAAAGGCACUCUGAAAACCCAUAUGAGAAUUCAUUCAGGAGAGAAACCUUACAAAUGCGGUGAAUGUGACAAAUGCUUUGGCCAAAAAUUCUAUCUUAGUAUUCAUCAGAGGAUUCAUACAGGAGAUAAACCUUACAAAUGCAGUGAAUGUGACAAAUGCUUUGGCCGACAAUCCCAUCUUAGUCGUCAUCAGAGAGUUCAUACAGGAGAGAAACCUUACAAAUGCAGUGAAUGUGGCAAAUGCUUUACUGAAAAAGGCAAUCUGAAAAACCAUAUGAGAAUACAUACAGGAGAGAAACCUUACAAAUGCGAUGAAUGUGACAAAUGCUUUGGCCACAUUUCCUAUCUUAGGCAUCAUCAGUGGAUUCAUACAGGAGAUAAACCUUACAAAUGCAGUGAAUGUGACAAGUGCUUUGGGCGACAAUCCUAUCUUAGGCGUCAUCAGAGGAUUCAUACAGGAGAGAAACCUUACAAAUGCAGUGAAUGUGACAAGUGCUUUACUGAAAAAGAUAAUCUGAAAAACCAUAUGAGAAUUCAUACAGGAGAGAAACCUUACAAAUGCAAUGAAUGUGACAAAUGCUUUCGCUACAGUGUUGAUUUGAGAAUUCAUCAGAGAAUUCAUCCAGGAGAGAAACCGUUCAAGUGUGGUUAAUAUGACAAAUGCUUUACCCAAAAAUGCAAUGUUCAUGUACGUCAGAGACUUCGUACAGGAGGGAAACCUCACAAAUGCAGUGAAUGUGACAUAUGCUUUGGCCAACAGUCUCAUCUUAGUGUUCAUGAGAGAAUUCAUUUAGGAGAAAAAUCUUUCAAAUGCCCUGAAUGUAACAAAUGCUUUACCCACUAAUUCUGAAUUCAUCAAAGAAUUCAUACCUGAGAGAAAUCAUGUAAGUGUACUGAAUGUAACUAAUCUUUUACUCACAAAAUUACUCUGACAUUUUUUCAGAGAAUUCAUCAGGAGAAUAAACUUACAAAUGUGUAACAAAUAUUUCACUCAGAAAUGGCAGUCUUCAUGUCCAUCGGAGACUUCAUAUAGGAGAGGAACCUUACAAAUGCAAUGAAUGUGACAAAUGCUUUACCCAAAUGUUUUACCCAAAUGUUAGCUUAAGAAGGCAUCAGAGAUUUCAUACUUGAAAUAAUACUUGCAAGUGUCAUGUAUACCAAAAAUGCAUUACAUACAAUGUCAGUCUGAUAGAUUACAUACAGUAGAGAAACAUUAUAAAUUUAGUCAAUGAGACAACUCUUUACCAGCAAAUAUCGUCUUAAAAUUCAUUAGAUAAUACUUAAAGGAGAGAAAACUUUCAAAUGUAUUAGCGGUUUGAACCUUUUCUUUUGGCCUUUCUCUUAGAAUUAACAGAAUAUGUACAUGUGACAAUCUGAAGAAAUAGAAUGUAUUUGGAAAUAUCUUUGACUUCAUUUCAGGUCAGAGAAAACAUUUUAAUUUUUUUGUCAGGAAAGUUUAUCUUGCAAAAAUUGAGGUUCUACACUAGAG